rnacentral:rRNA from 1 species
GUGAAUACGUUCCCGGGCCUUGUACACACCGCCCGUCACACCAUGGGAGUGGGUUGCAAAAGAAGUAGGUAGCUUAACCUUCGGGAGGGCGCUUACCACUUUGUGAUUCAUGACUGGGGUGAAGUCGUAACAAGGUAACCGUAGGGGAACCUGCGGUUGGAUCACCUCCUUACCUUAAAGAA